UCUAGUGCGCACAGGCAAGAAAUCCUUCACUCCAUUUCUCUUCAUCCUAACCCUAAUGUAUUCGGUGAUUGUUGAUUUUGAUGGAAAGUCUCUUCUUUUUGGACACAGACCUCCAGAUCUGCUUCCUUUGCGACCUAUUUGCACGAGCUCUCGUUCCCAUGCUGCCGGGCUCAGGGGCAUGCAUUUGUAUCAAUGAGUGAGGAUCAUCGUGUUCUGUGGCUGAGGACUUUCUUGACCAAGCACUACUACACUCACUGAGGUAGAGACCUGCUGGUUGAUCCACCUUUUGUGCAGCUCCUGAUCAUCUCCUCUACUUGGCCUCUUUUGUGUGUUGGUUGGGAUCAGUGGCAACUUCCUCUAUUGGUUGAUGCAAUCAUGGUGCAGUGCUCCAGGUGGUGGCUCCUUUUGUCCUCAAACCACUCCUUUGAUGGCCCUUCUUUUGUGCAGUCUAACCUAACUAUGGCUAACAUUAGCUUAUAGUAGGUCGAUGCGAUGCCACACACUGUAUGCCAUGUUUAGAUGUUUAGGUUAACUUUGUCUAGUUAUUGUGCAUCAACACUGCUAGAUCAGCCUACCUUAGACACUGCAGACAAGUGUACUUAGUCUGUGAACUUAUUAUUGACACUACCCUUCAUCUGGUGGUGUUCUGGAUAUGUAAGGCAUUAUGCAUGAGCAUCUGCCAACUAUGUUUCAUUAAUGUGCACUCAUGCCUCUGCA